GUGCCAGCAGCCGCGGUAAUACGUAGGGUGCGAGCGUUGUCCGGAAUUAUUGGGCGUAAAGAGCUUGUAGGCGGCUUGUCGCGUCUGCUGUGAAAUCCCGGGGCUUAACCCCGGGCCUGCAGUGGGUACGGGCAGGCUAGAGUGUGGUAGGGGAGACUGGAAUUCCUGGUGUAGCGGUGGAAUGCGCAGAUAUCAGGAGGAACACCGAUGGCGAAGGCAGGUCUCUGGGCCAUUACUGACGCUGAGAAGCGAAAGCGUGGGGAGCGAACAGGAUUAGAUACCCUGGUAGUCC
rnacentral:rRNA from 1 species